rnacentral:rRNA from 1 species
AACGAACGCUGGCGGCGUGCCUAACACAUGCAAGUCGAGCGCGAAUGGAGCAAUCCUAGUAGAGCGGCGCACGGGUGCGUAACACGUGGGUAAUCUGCCUCAAAGCCCGGGAUAACCUGCCGAAAGGCAAGCUAAUACCGGAUAAGCCUACGGACUCUUCGGGGUCUGAAGGAAAGGUGGCCUCUGUAUACAAGCUAUCACUUUGAGAUGAGCCCGCGGCCCAUCAGCUCGUUGGCGGGGUAACGGCCCGACCAAGGCAACGACGGGUAGGCUGGUCUGAGAGGACGAUCAGCCACACUGGAAC